ensembl:lncRNA
GGAUGAGAAGAAAAGCAAAAGCGACACCGGAAAGGGGAAAAAAAAGAAAAGAAAAAAAAAAAAAAAAAAAGGAUGGGGAAAGAAUUAGAAAGUAAUUUCAAUAAUUUCUUCUGCUGCAUGGAGGAAAAGGACCUGGGGGUGUUGAUUAUCAGUGUUCAACUGAACAUGAGCCAGCAGUGUGCUUAGGUCGCCAAGAAGGCCAGCAGCAUCCUGGCCUGUAUCAGAAAUAACACAGCCAGCAGGAGCAGCAAGGUGAUCAUCACCCUGUACUCAGCUCUGGUAAGGCCACACCUCAUGUAGUGCGUUCAGCUUUGGGACCCUCACUACAAGAAAGACAUCAAGGCCCUGGAGCAUGUCCUGAGAAGGGUAACAAAGCUGGUGAGGAGUCUGGAGUACAAAUCCUGUGAGGAGCAGCAGAGGGAACUGAGAUUGUUUAGUCUGGAGAAUGUUCAGGAGAGACCUUCUCACUCUCUACAGCAACCUGAAAGGAGACUGUGACGAAAUGGGGGUUGAUCUCUUCUCCUGUGUAACUCGCGAUAAGACAAGAAGGAAUGGACUCAAGCUGUGUCAGGGGAGGUUCAAGUUGGAUAUUAGGAAAAAUUUCUUCUCAGAAAGAGUGGUGAGGCAUUAGAACAGGCUGUCCAGGGUGGUGGUUCAGUUACUAUCCCUGGAGGCGUUUAAGGAAAGGGUCGAUGUAGUACUUAGGAAAAUGGUUUACAGUAUUGUAUUGGUGGUAGGUGGACGGUUGGACUAGAUGAUCUUAGAGGUUUCUUCCAGCCUUAAUGAUUCUACAUAAGUUGCUCUGAAAGUAAUGCCUCCUAUUUAUUUACACGGAAGCUACAACAGCUACAAAGAGCAAAUUGAUAGAGCAAAUUCUCAUUCACAAAACACUAUUUUUUAAUGUAGUCACCAUCAUUAGCUAUGUUUUGUUUUGUUUUGUUUUGUUUUUUUUUUGCCAGUAGUGAACAAGAACCAGCAUGCUUGUCCAAAAUCUGUAUCAGUGAAAGUGACCUAUUGUUGCUGUUGCCACUGCUGAAACAUAUCACCCACCCUUUCACUGUGCUCACAUCCACUGGUUGGUCUCCAUAAACAUUCAGCAAGUAUGAAUGAAUGGCAAUGGAUGCCAUUCCACAUGGAGGAAUUCAGUGCAUACUGAAUACACACACUGC